AAUACUUUUUGAAACUAUUUUUAAAAUUUUUAUUUUCAAAUAUUUAUUUUUUAUUUUAUAGAAUUUUAAACUCAAUCCCAAAUCUCUACCCCUUAACUCUAAACCCUAAGGUUUGAAUUAGUUAACCCUAGAAGUAUAAUUGUAUUUACCUCUUUAAUGAAACAUUUUGAUCAUUUUCUUCAUUGUGGUCUAUUUUUGUGACUAAAACUUUUUUAAUGUUAUCUUAGGAUAUUUCUCAUAUAAUUAAUGUUCAGCUUAACAGUAUUCAGAUACGCAUAUGGGUUUUAUAUGGAUUCAAAAUAUCUGAAACUUUUGAGUGGAUAUGACUAUUUUCAUGUGUUUUUUUUUCUAUAUCUAAUCUAUUAUUAGCUUAGGGUUUUACUUUUAUCUACUAUCUAAAGUUAUUAAAUUUUGGACCAUUUCAUAAAUAUUACUACAAUAUAUCACACUACCUUAUAAAUAGAACCUACCUACUUAAACUUAAAACCGACGUCGGUUAAUUAAACAUAACCAAUGUCAUAUUAAAAAUACGUUUGGUUCUCUUAAUAGAACUAGAACAUACAAAACUGAAUUGCUCUUAUACUAAUCAAUACACUACUCCUUUUAUAAUGUGUCUUCAAUACUUAUUCUAUAUGGACAUCAUGUUUGUAAACAAAACCGUGUUUGCCAUAUCACUAACUUCAUUUGCAACAUAUCAAAAUCCAUUCAUAUUUUGGCCAUACAAAUCUUUCAGAACACUAACUGCACAUGCAUCUAAGCUCGAGUCAUAUACAUAUUAGAUUAGGUUCACCUUUUGCAUUACAUAAGUUUUUUUUUUGGUUUACCAGAUCACAGCAUACAAUUCAUACAUGUAUAUAAGAUUACUCUUUUGUUUCCUCAUAUUUCAGAACACUAACUGCACCUGCAUUAAGCUUGAAUCAUAUGAAUAUUAGAUUAGAUUCACCUUUACAUUACAUAAGUUUUUAUUUGUUUAUCGUAUCACAUCAUACAAUUCAUAUAGGUAUAUAAGAUUACUCUUUUGUUUCCACCAAAAUUACGUGUAUUGCAAACAAAAAAUCCACCAAGAACAACAUACUUUCUUGUUACUUUUCCUUAAAUCUAUUUUAUUAAAAAAUAUCUAUUCUAUUAAAAGGAAAGCAGUCUUGAAAAAUCUACUUAUACAAAGUUGUUUGGACUAUUUUCUAAGAGUUAAUAAUUUCAUAGUCCUACUUAAAUUUCUCCUAACAAAAUAUUUUCAUAUAUUUCUUUGAUUUUCUUUAGAUAUUAUAAGUGUGUCACUCCUAUAUUUAUGGUAACUAUUAUAUUACCUUCUAUAAAUCUCACCCCUUGAUUAUAAAUUUCUCCAUUUAUUUAUUGAUAUCCCAUAUACGAUUUACUAACCAACAUUUUUUGAUGCAAUAAUAUAUAAACUCGUGGGUCAAUAGACUAAUCUAUUGUGUAAGUGACCAUAUUUAUAUUAUAUAAUGUUUAUUUUAAUUCUUAAAUUCAUAUCUAUAUAAAAUGAAUGGUAUGGUGCAUAUCACCAUUAAAUAAAACAUGUCAUUUGAAUUAAAAUAGUCUGGUAAGUAAUACAUGUAUUUUUAAAAAAUGAGUUAAUGAAGUAUGAUAAAUAAUUAUCACAAAAUCAUGUUUUACUAUAGAACCGAUCAAACUUAGUAGUAUAUUAUAUUAUUCUGAGUUCAUAAAAAAUGAUAUUAACAUAUAAGUACUGAAUAAAUUUGAAAAAAUGCAUAUGAAGUUAGUUAAAAAAUUAUCCUCGGGCCAACUUAUUUAAUUGAGAUUUUACUAUAAUUCAGAUACAACCACUUAAACUACAUUAUGAAAAAUUAAAAAAUACAAAUAAUUUUGAAAAUAUUGCUCCAUAUUCUCUCUUUUUUUUAUAAAAAAUAAGUUGACUUGAUUUUUACUUAUGAAGCACAAUUACUAAAAUCCAAAAUAAUGAUUAGUCUUUUUUUUUUGGGCAACAAAUAAUGUUUAGUAUAAAAGAUGCUCAAAUACAAGUCCACUUCUGUAAUUCAAUUUAAAUAACAAAAUAAAUUUACAAAUAUAAUUAGGUUCAGAAUUAAUAUUUAUAUUAUUUGAGUUUCAAGCUUGCAGGUUUCCGCGGGUUAUUCAAUCAUAUAUUAUAUACUAAACACAUUGAGAUUGGUAUAAACUCUUCACUAGGUUUGGAAUACCUAAGUUAAAUAAGAUUUUUCUCUUUUGAAAAAGUAUUAACCCCGUGCUUCAAAACUUGAUUCAAAAUUUUGAAUUGAGUUUUGAAAAUAUACCAUCCAAUUUAUAUGGGAUUUUAUCGGGUCAACCAAUAUUGGAUAGCGGGUUAAUGAUAGUUUUUACGUUUUUACCGACUUUUAUCAGAUUUUUAUAUAUAAGGUUUUAACAAAAUUCAGACCAUAUUUAUAUGAAUCACCUGAUUUACUUCUGAGACUGUAGGUUUGGUUCGGGUAUAAAAACACUGCUAAAACUAUUAAAAAUUCUACAAUAUAUAUACUAUUAGAUUAGCCCAAAAUCUACCAAUUAAAUUUUUUUGUCUCAUCAACUCAACAGAUAUAACUCUUAAAAAUACACACAAAAUACAACGAUGACGUUGUAACAUAAGAAUACACAUAUAAAAUCUAAAAUAAACUAUUUGAUAAAUUAUAUAAUUUUAAACUAAAAUUCUUUUACUUUUUCGAUAUAAUAACACUUUAUAACUUAAUAAUAUACUUCAAAACAUCAAAACCAAAAUAAUAAUUCAUAUCAAACAAUAUUCUUAAUCGGAAAAAAACCCGCGCUUUUGAAGCGCGGGUCAAAAUCUAGUAUUCUAUUAAAAGGGAAGCAGUCUUGAUAAAUCUACUUAUAAAAGUUGUGCGGACCCUUUCAUUUAACUAAUCUAUUAUAUUAUGGCCUGCCCUAUAUUUCAGGUAACAAUAGUCACCAUAAAUUACUCUAACAAUAUGUCAAUAUGUUUGUUUACUAAGCUCACGUCUUUUGGCACCCGAUAAUUUUAUACCUCAUCCUAUAUCCUUGCUUUUUCUUUGUUGACAUUAUAUUUUAGGAUUAUAAUAUACCUUAUACACAUAAUAUUAUAUUUAGUUGUAGUACACGGUACAUAUUUAAAUCCUCCUUCAAUGUCUCAUAUUUACAUCUUAGUUUUAAAAGCUUUUCUUUAACAAUGGAGAAUUUAGAAUGCAGUCAUCUAUGUUUCAUUACAUGUCUUCUCCUCUUAUAUCAAAAAUAAGAGGUGUCAAUUACUUGAAAAGAUUAUACCUUAUACCAUCUCUAUACAUUAUCAAAAGUGACUGACCAUAACAUUUUGAAAAAAAAUCUACUUAUAAAAAAAUUGUUGGACCCUUUCACUACUACUUAACCUUUAUUAUACACAAAACACAACCAAUUAUUUUUAUUUAUUACACUAUUUAAUUAACUAUGUAAAUAUAAUGUAUAUUUUCAAAAUAUGGGAUCCAUGCUGUUAUGAUUCCAGAUAUCUUCGUAUAUAUUAUAUUUAUUAAGUUGGUAAAUACAAUUAUUACUGGAGUUAUAUAUGUUGUUGCUCUUUUGACCUUACAUGUCAUGGAGCAUUUACCCUCUAACACAUUAUAUAUACUUUUUUCAUAUUAAAUAUCAUAAUUAAUGUGUUGUCUUAUAUUAAAUAACAUUAAACUGGGUAAAUAACAUAAUGUGUUGUCCUAUAUAAUAUAGUUAUAUUGAUGUUUUAAUUAAUAGUAUUUUUAUACUUUAAUCCUAUUUAAUGUUUUUAGCAUAUAUAAAUAGUGUACAAUGUAUAUUUUUUCAUUUAAAAAAAGGUUGUUGGACCCUUUCAUUAGACUUAACUAUUUUUUUGGUCUUACUUUAUAUUUCUCUAACUAUAUAAAUGCUUUAGAUAAUUUAAAUGAACUCAUUUAUUAUUCUCCCAUAACUUUUUUUAACGCUAAUUUAUUAUGAUCUUACAAUUAUGAUAUGAGAAAGAUAUUCUACCAUAAUCUAUUAUAUAAUAACUAUUCUAACAAGAAAUUUCCUAGAAUAUAUGACAGAUUAAUCAAACAUAUUUACACAUGACGUGAUUAUUACCACAUAUAGUUCCACUAAUAAUAUAAAUUUUUAAUGGUUUAAUUAUUUUUAAUAUAGGUUGUAAUGGAGAAUCCUCUGAUGUAUAACAAUUUUUUUUAUUUACGUGAAUUGAAAACUAAAAGCAUUAUCGUUAACUAUUCAAAUAUGAAACUUUAAUUUAAUUAAUUACAUGCAAUAAAUUAUUAAGGUUUGAUCUUACAUUCUUAUAUACGAACUAAAUGAUUAAUCUUACCAUAAAUAAAUAUCAAAUGGGUCUAAACGGGUUAGAGAUUUAAAUGUAAUUAGUAAAAGAAAACUGGUUUAAAUAGAACAUGUUAAUAUACUUUACAAAUUCUAACAAUGCAUAUGAUACGUUUUAUUGAAUUUUCACAAAUGUAAUAAAUCUUGCUCUUUAAAUCGGGUAGUUUAGGUUGUUUGGAAAAAAUAUAGGAUAAAUAAUUUUAAUUAAUUAUUUGAAUAAAAACAUUCAAGUCAUUAUUAUUUUUUUGCAUAAGUUUAUUUAUAAAUAGUAUUUUCAGGAUAUUUGGUUAUUUAGAAGUUAAAUAUAAUUAAUAUUUGUAGGUAUAUAAUUUAUAUUUUAAUCGGUUUCUAUUUUUUCGGUUCCAAAAAUAUAGGAUAUGCUCGAUUAUUUAUGAAAUUCAGCUUAAUUUUGGUUUUUUAGUUUGAUAUGGUUCAGUGCACCCGGUAAAUGUACCCAAACCUAUACAUUAUCUUAUAUAGAAGUUAUAUAAGAAGAAUUUAUUUAAUUUCAAAAAUAAAUCCGCACUUUUUAAGCGCGGGUCAAAAUCAGCGCGGGUCAAAAUCUAGUAAAUUAUUAAAUCAUCAAACAAAUUUUCUUAUAUUCCAACCUCGAUGUUUACCACCUGCCCAACUACAUUCAGAUUACAUAUCUAUUAUUCAAAUCAUAUGAAUAAUAGAUUUGAUCAAAUCUACACUAAUGCAUCUUCCAUAAUAAUAUCUUCAAACAACUUAAUAUUUUUUUUAAUUAAUUUUCCUUAAUCUGAUUUUUAAAUGAAAUAUUUUAAUGCUGAAAAACAACUUUCCUUAUAUUUCGAGCUUGCUAUUAAUCACCAUCACAACUACAUUCUGAUUUCAUAUCUUAACUAAGUAACUGAUUCAACAAACUACUGAAAUCAGAAUAUGCCUAAAGAUCUUCAUUAUACAUAUACUUACUAUCUAAUCACUAUAAAUAUGCUUCCAUGCCCUACUCUUUCUUCACCUCACAAUCAUAAAGUAAAAGACUCAUGGCUAUGGUUACUCCGAACGCAGUCCGACAUUGAACGAUGUCAAGCCAUUUAAAGAUACUUGGAAAGUUGAAAUCAGAGUUCUUCACUCAUGGACUCAACACUCAUCUUAUUCUGGUGGAGACUCUUUUGAUUUCAUUCUUCCGGAUAAGACAGUAAGUGUAUUAAUGGUUACACGGUUUUGUUAUUCUAAAAGUUCUAUUGUAAAAUGUCUAAACCGAUUUUGAUUAUUUUUUAAUGUAGGGUGUUAAGUUACAUUAUACCUACAAGAGGAACUUCUUUCCUCGUGUGAAGAAUCUCCAGGUUGGCCAAUGGAGGUUUAUUUAAAAUUUCUUAGUAACUCCAGCUAACGGAAAGUACCGACCAACGAACCAGAAAUACAAGAUGUCCAUCACAGGAAAUUCCAAUGUCACCAAUUCCGAACUGAAAAUCGAUGAUGAUUUCUUGACGUUGACUCCUUUACAAGCAAUCAUGAAUGGAAGCCUUGAUUCAAAAAAAUUAGUUGGAAAUACACGUUAGCGUUUUCAUAAUAUUUUUAUCAGCUUUGAUUUACAUUAAUUACUAUUUCGUUUUAAGGUUUUAGAUGAUAUUGGCCGUGCCACUGAUAUUGGCGAUCUUCAGGUUGUCCAAGUAAUUGGGAAAGAAAAAAAGAAGCCGGAACUUACAUUGACCGAUACAAAUGAUCAACACAUUGCAUGUUGUCUUUGGAGUCAUUUUUCUGAGGACAUGCAUGAUGUAUAUCGACAUGAGGAUCCUGAAGACUUGCCUGAUGUAUAUUUUAAAUUUAACGAAAAUAAAUUAAAAUAAGAUCAAAGUCAAAUUAAAAUAUUAAAAAGUAAACAAGAUUCACUACAGACGAAUAUGUACAACACAAAUUAUAACACCAAUCAAUUUUAUAUAUAUUUAAUAAAAUAUUAUAUAGAGUCAAAUAUAUAUAAAUAUUAUAUAAAAAAUUAAAAAUUAAUUUGACAAACAAAAAAUCAAAAUAACAUAACCUCAACUAAACCCAAAUUCAUAAAUAAUCAAAAUAUUACUAUAUUUCUUGAACCGAAAACCAAAAUCUACAAUCAAACCGGAACCAAACCAAAAAUAAAAAAUUAAUCUGGAGUCGAAUCAAUAUUUAGAAAAUAUUACCAAAUCAUAAAAUUGUAAUUUUAAACCAUAAAGUAUAAAUAUUUCCGCGCACAGUGCGGAUCCAUAUCUAGUUUUAGUUUAUAGUUAAGUUGUAAACAUUUAAUAGAUCUUUUAAGUAGUAUAAGAAUUUAAAUAUCUAAUCUAAAGUUCCUAUAAUGAUUAGUUUCAUUUACUUAUUUGUUUAUUUUCGGUUAUUUUGCGAAUUUUAAAGUAAAUUUGACAGAUUUCAAAUUAAAAAUAAGAGUAUUAUUGAAAUGUUUCGAUAUUUAUAUAUAUAUAUAAAAUAUUUGGAGCCAAAUUAGAAUCAUAAUUUUGUCAGCACAUUGUUCUUUCUUUUUCCACCACUGAAUAGAGAGGUCUCAAACAACUUUGUUUUGAUACAAUUCCGUAGUUCAGUUUAAUACAGGAGAAUGCGGAAGUAACUAAAUAACAUAUAAGAAAACAUUCUCCAACAACACUGAUUAUUAUUCUAUUCAUUACAAGAACACAUGCAUCUCAAAUCCCAUUUGAUGUGUCAUCUUAUUACAUUUUUUUGUCAAAGUAAUGUCAUCUUAUACAAAUAGAGAGCUGCCAUUUCCGUUAAUAGUUAAUUUUUCUGAUGCGAUUUUAUCACCGUACGCCACUAAUGCAAUAAGAUCAGCGUCCGUAAUCCUCUGAAAGAAAUUAACAUACUUAAAUCAACUACGUGUGAAUAGACUAAUUAAAUCGUAUUUAUCUCUAUUAAUAAUCAUAAAUGUGUGCAUGAGAAGAUAUAACAUAAGAAUGUAGAAACCUUUUUCUGCUUGGUUAACUCCCUGAAUCGUGAGAAAAUGUCGUUGAACUUCUCAUCACUGAUUUCAUAUCCUAUCUGAGAAAAGAAAAAAGAACACAUAAGUGUAAACAUAGUAACGAUUCUGUUCAUUAACAUAAAUACAAACAUAAUAAAGAUCAAAUUCAUAUAUAUAUGAAUGUGAUCAUUAUAUAACCAACAAUUAAGAACAAAAACUAAGAAAUCACAAGGGAUACCUUUCUUAGCCGAUCUUUCACAGCAUGACGUCCACUGCAUGCAUAUUUCCAUUGUUGUUAAUAUAAAUUCAACAAAAAACAUGUAAUCUUGCUUAUGCAAAACUAAGAAAUAACAUGUUACCUAAGCUUUCCAAGAACAAUGCAUGAAUCUUGAGAUUUUUCGGCCCCAAUGUCUUCUGGUGAGAAUAUUUCAUAUGUACUCCGAUGUUUCAAAAUUCCAUCCUGCAAAAUGUUUUAACAAUAUUCUUGGUAUCAAUCUCAGAUGUAUAUUUUAUUAGUCAUUUUGUUAAAGAUACGAAACCUGGUGAAUGCCGCUCUCAUGAACAAAACAGUUGGUACCUACUAUGGGUUUAUGUGGUUGAACAUACAAGCCAGUAUACUCUUGAACCUGCUCAAUACCACUUUAUAUUUUUUACUGAACUAUUAUAAUUAAAGGUCUAAAGAAAUUUGUAUUUACUUGUAUACAUAUUGUGUAUAUAUAAAAAGUUACCAUCUUGCUAGUAGCCAUGAUAUGGCGUGUGUCUAUUCUUGUGUAAACACCAUCCAUCACAUAUGCUCCACGACAUUUCAAAGCCAGUACAACCUACAUACCAAAUAAAUAUUCAUGGUGAUGAUGAUUAUUAUGGUAGUGAGUAUGGUACCUCUUCAAGCGAAGCAUUCCCACUUCUUUCGCCUAUUCCGUUGAUCGUUACUUCGACUUGUCUUGCUCCCGCACACACACCCUAAUAUAGGCUUUAUAUGUUUGUCAUCUUGAGAAUAUAUAUUUUGUCCAGCGAAUGUCUUAAUUAAACUAACACAAAUUAAAGAGUUAAUUAAGUACGGAGAUUUUCUUAAUUAGACUAACACAAAAUAGUUAAUUACGGAGAUUGUGUUGGCGGUAGCAAGACCAAGGUCGUUGUGACAAUGAAGGCUGAAGACAACAUCAUCAAUUCCAGGAGUGUUUGUUUUGAGAUAGGUCACCAUUUCUCCAAAUUCUUGAGGGAUGUUGUUCCCUACCGUGUCCGCGAGGGUCACCGUCGUUACGCCCUCAUUUAUUGCGUCUCCCAUAAUCUUGCAUAGAAAAUCCUUGUCUGAUCUGAAUCUCACACACACAUACACACAUUAGUACUUGAGAUACGAAAACGAACAUGGCCUAAAUAUAAAUGCAAAUGUAAGCAUAUAAGAUUACUAGUAUUUUGAAAUUUAUAUUUGGCAUGAUUAGUAUACAUGCAAACACCAUAACUCAACAGCUAAAAACUUUGCUAGAUUAUGUAUGACCUAGAUGACGUUCAGAUUAACUAUGCGUUUGUUUUUGCAUGUAAAAUUUUGGUUUUAAAAAGUGACUAUUUCAUUUUAAAAUUAUAUAAAUCUUCUUGUAAGAUAUAAAUGCAAAUGUAAACAUAUAAGAUUGGUAGGAAGAUUUUGAAUGUCAAAAAAGAAAUACCAGCAACGUGAAACCAAACGAACCAAACAAAUAAUAUUGAAACUAGGUAAGUGUCCGAACCUUAUGGGGACUAAUAUGUAUGUAUCUAACAAUAUUUAAAUUUAACAUAGAUCUUUUGUAUUUAAAAUUUUCAUCACGUGUGAUAAUCAAUUUAAAGUAUUUUUAAUAUGGUAUUCUUAAGUUUCAAGCUUUGAAAUUUGGCCGUCUUAACUAUCUCAUAUUAUAUCCCUAUUAGCAAUUGUUAGAAAACGUUCAUCUUUUUAUAAACUAAAAGUAAUAAUUACAUACGCCUAUUAAAAUUAAAAUUUUCUUCUUUUUUUUUUGUAGUUUUAAGAGGUGUUGUUUUUUUCUCUUCAGCCCAUAACUUUGUUAUAUUUUUUUGAGGGACAUAUCUUAGGUUCACCUCCUAUAGUGAACCUUUAAAUUCACUCCAUUCUUUAUGACCAAUCAAAUUUCCAAAUAGAUUAUUAAUUAAAAAAUAUUAAAUUAAAUAAAAAAUAGCUACAAAAAAUAAAUACGCUAAUUUUAACGACGCUGACGCUUCCACCUAAACCUUAAAUCUUAAAUUCUAAACCCUAUACUAUAAAUUCUAAACCUAAAAACUAGACUAUAAACCUAAACUCUAUACCCUAAACCCAAGUCCUAGACCCUAAACCCAAGUCCUAGACCCUAAACCCAAACCGUAAACCUUAAACCCAAAUUAUAUACCCUAAACCUAAAACUUUAACCAUAAGUCCAAACGGUAAAUCCUAAACCCAAACCGUUAAUCUUAAACCCAAAACCUAUACCCUAAACCCAAAUCCUAGACAUAAAACCCAAACGCUAAACCCAAAUCCCAAACUUAGAUGCUAUAGGGUUUGGGUUAAAGUUUACGGUUUAGGUUUAGGGUCUAAGAUUUGGGUUUAGGGUAUAGAGUUUAGGUUUAUAGUCUAUUUUUUGGGUUUAAGGUAUAUAAUUUGGGUUUAGGGUCUAGGAUUAGGGUUUAGGAUAUAGGGUUUUGGUUUAGGGUCUAGGAUUAGGGUUUAGAGUAUAGGGUUUGGGUUUAGGGGUUUGGAUUUGGGUUUAUAAUUUAGGGUAUAGGAUUUAGAAUUUAAAAUUUAGGGUUUAAGGUUUCGUUGGAAGCGUUAUCGUCGUUAAAAUUAGCAUUUUAAUUUUUUGUAGCUAUUUUUUAUUUAAUUUAAUAUUUUUAAUUAAUAAUUUAUGUGAAAAUUUGUUUGGUACUAAAAAGUGCCGUCUUUUUUGAGAAGUUUGGUAAGUUUCUGUGUAUUAUUACGCAUCAGCGUAAGAUGAAAAAUAUAUAAUAGAGUCGGCAAACUAUCAUAAUGCAAUAUUAAGAUGAAUACAAAUAUACAGCAAAGUUAUCUGUAUUAGAGUACAUAUUAUUAUAAUAUGACAUAUAUUACAAUAAAUAUCAUUUACAGAUUAUCUUUACUACUAUUGAACUAUAAACUACAAUAAAAAUUGACUAUUUCGCAUAUGCAAUAAGAAAUAUGAUUUAAAGAUAUACAUUAAUAAAUAUAAUUUUAAAACAAAAUAAUAAUAAUUGGUCUUCUUAACCUUUAGACCAAAAAGGAUUUGGUCUAAAACGCAGCCGUUUGUCUUAUUAUUUUAAAUACACUAAUUAAAAUAAUUUGCAGAUUAAUUGAUGUAUAUUUGGUGUUUUCAAAAUUAAUUUGAAAUUUUUACUAAAAAUAAUAAUAUGUAUAACCUUUUCUUUAUGGCCGGGACUUAUUAUCUGGGAUCCGAUUCGCUCCGAAAAUAGGAUAUCCGAAUUGCUCGGAUCUGGAUAGUAAAUCUCAGAUCCGUCAAAGUCGAAUCCGAAUAUCUUUAUUUUUAAAUUCAGAUAUUUUGAUCCAAAUCCAUAUUUUAAAACAUAUUAUAUUUUUUAUUUUAUUAAUAAUUACAUGUGAUAUAUAAUAUUUAUACAAAAAAUUAAUCUUAUAAUAUUAUGUUUGAACUUUAUAAUAUUAUAUACAUAACUUAAAUAUUUAUACAAUAUCUAUAUAUAUAUGUUAUUAUUAGAAUUUUUUUUUAAAAUUUUUUUUUAUUAAUAAUUACAUGUGAUAUAUAAUAUUUAUGCAUAAAAAAUAGACUUAUAAUAUUAUAUUUUAACUUUUAUAAUAUUACAUACAUAAAUUAUAUAUAUCUAUAUAUUUAUUUAUUAUUUUGAAUUUUAGUAUUUUUUUUAUUUAAUUAUUUUACAGAUCCAGAUCUGGAUAGUCAUAAAUAGAAAGAUCUGCACAUAUAUCAAGAAUCUUGAUAUUCAGAAGCCACGGAUCCUGAUCCUGAUCCAGAUACUAAAUCAACGGAUAAAUAUGUUUUCAUGGGAAAGGAAAAAAUUAUUUUUAAAU